CCUACGGGAGGCAGCAGUAGGGAAUAUUGCUCAAUGGGCGAAACCCUGAAGCAGCAACGCCGCGUGGAGGACGAAGGCUUUCGGAUUGUAAACUUCUUUUGUUAGAGAAGAUAAUGACGGUAUCUAACGAAUAAGCACUUGCUAACUCCGUGCUAGCCGCCGCGGUAAUACGGAGGGUGCACGCGUUCCUCGGAAUCACUGGGCGUAAAGGGCGCGUAGGCGGGAUAGCAAGUCAGAUGUGAAAUCCUAGGGCUUAACCAUAGAACUGCAAUUGAUACUGUAAUUCUAGAGUAUGGGAGAGGUAGGUGGAAGUCGUGGUGUAGGGGUAAAAUGCGUAGAGAUCAAGAGGAAUACUGAUUGCGAAGGCGACCUGCUAGAACGUAACUGACGCUGAUGCGCGAAAGCGUGGGGAGCAAACAGGAUUAGAUACCCCAGUAGUC
rnacentral:rRNA from 1 species